rnacentral:lncRNA from 1 species
CUAAAGUGGAAGUAUAAUAGGAAGUCCUAUUCUACCAUUCCCGGAAGGAGAAAAGCUAGAAACAUCUGGGAAUCAGCACCAAUCACAGACAUAUUAUAAGAGGACUGUGCUAGACACUCUUAGUGAUGCAGAGAUAAAGAAAACCUUGUGACCGUGCAGGAGGACACAGCAAGAAAGGAACUGUCUACAAGCCAUGGAGAGAGCUCUCAACAGAACCCGACAGUGCUGACACCUUAGAUCUUUGUUAAUGAAUGCAUUAACAUUCAUUAAAAUCCAUUAAUCUUGGAUCUCUAGCCUCUGGGAUUGUGAGAAAAUACAUUUCUGUUGUUUAAGCCACUCAGUAUACAGUAUUUUGUCAUGGCAGCCCAAGAGGCCUGAAACAAUUGUCAAACAUUUUGUUACGAGGGAGAGCUGAUAGGAACUACAGGAGAGAAGUUCUCUGUUUCUUUUUUUUUUUUUUUUUUUUAAUUUUCCUUACCUUGUUCUUAUGCCUAGCCCAUGUCCAUUUAUAUUAAAUAAACUGUACUAACUGCUGUUUUUGUACAUCUUUAUAUGGCAAAAUUUAGGGAGUCUAACAUUUCUG